GCCCACGCCCUCCCUGCCGCCCUGCCGCCGGCCCGCCUCGGGCCCACCUGCUUCUCACUCAGGAGGUGGGCGUCCUGGGAGCCAUCAACCCACACCUGGGCCACCAGACCAGGGUGGAAGGUGAGGGGCUGGCCUGCCGGACACAGACCCCAUUUGCACCCCAGCGUCCUCUUCUUGGACCAGGACCCUCCAGGUUGAGGGGGGGGACUGCAGCCUACGUGCCAAGCACCCCAACAGCCCACGUGCAGAGAGAGAGAGAAUCCAAAAGAAGAUCACUGGCUGCAUGUGGUUGGGGGCACCGAAAUAUAUCAGACAGCAUCCCAUUCACCCGGGUGAUCAGACAGAGAACCCUGCUGGCAG